rnacentral:rRNA from 1 species
ACACUCCUGCGGGAGGCAGCAGUGGGGAAUUUUGGACAAUGGGCGAAAGCCUGAUCCAGCAAUGCCGCGUGAGUGAAGAAGGCCUUCGGGUUGUAAAGCUCUUUUGUCAGGGAAGAAACGGUGAAAGCUAAUAUCUUUUGCUAAUGACGGUACCUGAAGAAUAAGCACCGGCUAACUACGUGCCAGCAGCCGCGGUAAUACGUAGGGUGCAAGCGUUAAUCGGAAUUACUGGGCGUAAAGCGUGCGCAGGCGGUUUUGUAAGUCUGAUGUGAAAUCCCCGGGCUCAACCUGGGAAUUGCAUUGGAGACUGCAAGGCUAGAAUCUGGCAGAGGGGGGUAGAAUUCCACGUGUAGCAGUGAAAUGCGUAGAUAUGUGGAGGAACACCGAUGGCGAAGGCAGCCCCCUGGGUCAAGAUUGACGCUCAUGCACGAAAGCGUGGGGAGCAAACAGGAUUAGAAUCCCUAGUAGUCCCAUGA